GACGAACGCUGGCGGCGCGCCUAACACAUGCAAGUCGAACGAAGAGUAUCGCUUGAAGCCUUCGGGUGGAAAAUGAUAUUUCUUAGUGGCGAACGGGUGAGUAACACGUGAGUAACCUGCCUUUCAGAGGGGGACAACAUUUGGAAACGAAUGCUAAUACCGCAUAAGACCACACUACCACAUGGUAGAGCGGCCAAAGGAUUUAUCCGCUGAAAGAUGGACUCGCGUCCGAUUAGCUAGGUGGUGAGGUAACGGCCCACCAUGGCAACGAUCGGUAGCCGGACUGAGAGGUUGAUCGGCCACAUUGGGACUGAGACACGGCCCAGACUCCUACGGGAGGCAGCAGUGGGGAUAUUGCACAAUGGAGGGAACUCUGAUGCAGCGACGUCGCGUGGGUGAAGACGGUCUUCGGAUUGUAAAGCCCUGUCAGCGGGGAUGAAUUAUUGACAAUACCCGCAGAGGAAGCCACGGCUAACUACGUGCCAGCCGCCGCC
rnacentral:rRNA from 1 species